GAUGCAUGUGGCUUUGUAAGUCAGGUGUGAAAUCCCAGGGCUCAACCCUGGAAGUGCAUUUGAUACUGCGAAGCUUGAGUGCUGGAGAGGUAAGUAGAAUACCUGGUGUAGUGGUGAAAUACGUAGAUAUCAGGUGGAACACCGGAGGCGAAGGCGGCUUACUGGCCAGACACUGACACUCAGAUCCGAAAGCGUGGGGAUCAAACAG
rnacentral:rRNA from 1 species